AGAGUUUGAUCAUGGCUCAGGACGAACGCUGGCGGCGUGCUUAACACAUGCAAGUCGAGCGGAAAGGCCACUUCGGUGGUACUCGAGCGGCGAACGGGUGAGUAACACGUGAGUAAUCUGCCCUUGGCUUUGGGAUAGCCACCGGAAACGGUGAUUAAUACCGGAUAUGACCACUUCUCGCAUGGGAUGGUGGUGGAAAGUUUUUUCGGCCAGGGAUGUGCUCGCGGCCUAUCAGCUUGAUGGUGAGGUAAUGGCUCACCAUGGCUUCGACGGGUAGCCGGCCUGAGAGGGUGACCGGUCACACUGGGACUGAGACACAGCCCAGACUCCUACGGGAGGCAGCAGUGGGGAAUAUUGGACAAUGGGCGGAAGCCUGAUCCAGCAACGCCGCGUGAGGGAUGACGGCCUUCGGGUUGUAAACCUCUUUCGGUGGGGACGAAGCGCAAGUGACGGUACCCACUAAAGAAGCACCGGCCAACUACGUGCCAGCAGCCGCGGUAAUACGUAGGGUGCGAGCGUUGUCCGGAAUUAUUGGGCGUAAAGGGCUCGUAGGCGGUUUGUCGCGUCGGGAGUGAAAACCAGGUGCUUAACACCUGGCUUGCUUUCGAUACGGGCAGACUAGAGGCAUUCAGGGGAGAACGGAAUUCCUGGUGUAGCGGUGAAAUGCGCAGAUAUCAGGAGGAACACCGGUGGCGAAGGCGGUUCUCUGGGAAUGACCUGACGCUGAGGAGCGAAAGUGUGGGGAGCGAACAGGAUUAGAUACCCUGGUAGUCCACACCGUAAACGUUGGGCGCUAGGUGUGGGGUCCAUUCCACGGAUUCCGUGCCGCAGCUAACGCAUUAAGCGCCCCGCCUGGGGAGUACGGCCGCAAGGCUAAAACUCAAAGGAAUUGACGG
rnacentral:rRNA from 1 species